ACUGUGCUGGAUGCUUGGCUAGAUAAUAUGCUGUCCUUCUUCUGGUCUCUGUAUUUUUGUGUGUGUAUGUUUUAAGAAGAUGACAUUCUUCAACAUUGUAAGGUCAGUAAUCUGACAAAUGUAAUUUAGUAGUAUUGGGGCUCGGAAAAUGACACCCCAAAACAUGCUGAGAGCUUUGAACAAAGGAGAUUAAAAUGCUCCAGAACGAAGCCUCAGAACCAAUGUUUCUCUCUGACCUUCUGCUCCUUCCACAACUUCUCUGCUGAAGUGCAGGGAGGUCCUUUCUCUGAAGUUCCCUUAUCUGACUGAGGGAAGGAAGUUCUUCCAAAAGGAACACAAUGGUCUCGAAUCCUUUCCCUAGGAAACUCAUUAAGCAACCAGGAAAGAUUAAUCACCACAGAGGAGAUUAAUUCAUCACUGCAGGCAGACAGGCUAUCACCUAUUCUUUUGGAUGCAGCUCUAAAACAACUUUUAUCUGAAUAGUAAGACAGCCUUUGCUCAUCAUUUGGUUCCUCCCCUUUCCCUCCCCUAACUUGUUGCUACUUCCCCCCAAUGCUUCAGGUUCCCAUUCCUUUAUGCUAUUUACGUUUCAGCUAUCUGGCCCUUCUCAGAGUCUCACAUUUUAUUUGGCUCCUGUGCAUAUUAAUAAAUCUGUAUGUCUUUUCUCCAAUUAAUCUGUUCAUUAUCAGUUUAUUUCAACAGCCUCAAUUGACUCUUCAGAAGGUUAAACUUUUGUAGGCUAUUUUCCCCUUAAAAUGAACUAUAUUUCAUCUUCCCUCUUUAGGCCUACUUGUUGGUAAGCUAUAGAACAAGCUUGUCCAACUUGUGGCCCAUGGACCACAUGUAGCCCAAGAUGGCUUUGAAUGGGGCCCAACACAAAUUUGUAAACUUUCUUAAAAUAUCAUGGGUUUUUUUGCGAUAUAUAUAUAUACAUUUUAAAGCUCAUCAGUUACUGUUAUGGCCCAAGAAAAUUCUUCUUCCAAUGAGGCCCAGGAAAGCCAAAAGAUUGGACUCCCCUGCUAUAAAGUUUGGCUUUCAUGGAGGUAGUGGGGGAGGUGGUCCCAAAAUAGACCACUGAUUUGCCAAAUUUAAAAAUUAAGGGUUUUCAUAUUCAGAACCAAAAUUACUGUAAAGACUGACCUCACUGGUGAUGUCACAAUCACAUUUCAAAAACAAUAGAGUAUUUCCUGUGAUUUAAAUUCUAAAUCAAAAUUAUUCAUAGGCCAGUUCUAGAUUCUUUUGCUGUUCCCUUUCCCUCUACGGCAAGUCUUGCCAACAGGAUGAGACUCCCUUGUCAACUAUGAUGAUUAAUUUUACGUGUCAAUUUGAUUAGGCCACAGAGUGCCAAGAUACUUAGUCAAACAUUAUUCUGGGUGUUUCUGUGAAAGUGUUUUAAGAUGAGAUUAACACUUAAAUCAGUGGCAUGGAUAGACGGGAUUGCUUCCAUCAUGUUGGUGGGCCUCAUUCAGUCAGUUCAAGGCUUGAUUAGAACAAAAGGGCUGACCUUCACUUGACUAAGAGAAAAUUCUUUUUGCCUGACAGCCUUCAAACUGAGACAUUGCUUUUUUCUUGCCUUCAGACUUGAACUGAAACUUUGGCUCUUCCUGGGUCUUGAGCCUACUGGCCUUUGAACUGGAACAGCAACAUUGGCUCUCCUGGUUCUCAGACCUUUGGACUCAGACUGCAACUAAACCAUCAGCUUUCUUGGGUCUCCAGCUUGCCAGCUUACCUUGAAGCAGAUCUUGGGACUUAUCAGCUUCUGUAAUCACUGCUUCAAACAAACGACAGAGGAUAUCACAAGGACAUGGGAGCCAGCUCAAUAGUUUCUACUGACCAAAUCUAAGGCAACUUGAGCAUCAAAUCUAUUCGGCAAAUGAUCACCCAUCUACCUCCAAGAGUGAAUGAUAGUUUAUGCCAAAAAUAAAUAAAGAUCAGCAUUCUAUUUGUCUUACUGGCUACAUAUCUUUGAAGAAAAAAAAAAAUCAGGUCAGUAAAAUGUUCAUUAAUUAAGAGAUUUCAUCCAAUUUUCAUCUAAUUGCCUAUUUUUUUUUGCUCCUUUCAACAUAUUUUCAUUUACAUUUAACAGGAUGUUCUACUUUUAUGGUGCCAAUGAUAAUUCUUUAAAAAUCUGUUUUUUAAAAUGGAGAAAAAAUAAAAUAACUUGAGUUGCAUAACAGCAAAAAAAUAUACUGUCAACAGAAACUUAGUUUAACGUCUAAAAUCUUUAUAAAAGAUAAGCAAAUUCUGAUUUUUUCCCUUUAUUUUAUAAUUGAAAAAUGAAACCACUUAACAUGAACACUUGAUACAUAAUUUCCUUAAAACUUCUCUAUGGUGAAAUAAAACUGUACCUAGUUGAAGAGUGUAUAUAAUAUUAACACUCAUGACAAUUUCAAUCCAACCGUUGAUAUAGCUUCAAAUUACUAUUAAUUGUGGCUAUUUUUUGGGAAAAAAUUGUGCAAAGCUUAUGAGGGCCCAGUAUACGAAAGGCUUAAUUUUUAAGAGUCAAAUCUACAUUUGUCACAAGAGUUCAAAAAGUGGCAUUAUAGUGCAAAAACACUAGAAAAUGCUAUCUCUUACUCAUAAGUC
rnacentral:lncRNA from 1 species